rnacentral:lncRNA from 1 species
GCGCGGGAACGCGAUGUACUUCUGCUGGCGCGCUGGCCGCCGAAGGCCGCUGCGAGAGCGGCAGGUGGUUGCUGGCGGCAACACGUUACUGCAGGCGGCCAGUGGGGAGCAUCACUCGCUAUUGCUGCUGAGCGACGGCACGGUCCAGUCGUGCGGGGACAACAGCCGAGGCCAGCUGGGCCGGAAAGGCACGCCGCGCGGGGAGCAGCCAGAACGAAUUCCGGCAUUGGAAACUCUGCACGUGGCUCUGGUGAGCUGUGGAAAGGAGCACUCCCUGGCUGUCUGUCACAAAGGAAGGGUCUUCGCGUGGGGAGCUGCUUCUGAAGGACAGCUGGGAAUUGGAGAACUUAAGGAAACAACUUUUAUACCUAAGAAGAUAAAAACUCUGGCUGAUAUAAAAAUUAUACAAGUUGCCUGCGGACACUACCACUCCCUGGCAUUAUCAGAAGAUGGCCAGGUGUUUUCAUGGGGGAAGAACAGCCACGGACAGCUGGGCCUGGGGAAGGAGUUCCCCUCCCAAGCCAGCCCACAGAGGGUGAGGUCCCUGGAGGGGAUCCCGCUGGCGCAGGUGGCUGCAGGAGGGGCCCACAGCUUUGCCCUGUCACUCUCUGGGACUUCAUUUGGCUGGGGAAGCAACAAUGCAGGGCAGCUGGCCCUCAGUGGGAAUAAUGCUCCAGUUCAGAGGUGUAAGCCUGUAUUAGUUGGUGCACUGAAGACUCUCAGUGUGGUUUUUAUCAGCUGUGGUUACGAGCACACUGCAGUGCUUACCCAGGAUGGGAAAGUAUUCACAUUUGGAGACAAUAGCUAUGGACAGCUGGGACACGAUUCCACUGCUGAGAAGAGGGGUCCACAACUUGUGGAAAGAAUUGAAGGCCUCGUAUCACAGAUAGAUUGUGGAAGUUAUCACACCCUUGCAUAUGUCUAUACCACUGGUCAGGUGGUGUCUUUUGGUCGUGGACCAGGUUGUACAAGAAGCUCACCACAUCCGGAGGCUCUGGCAGAGAGCUCUGAUGUUAGCUGCCUGAUUUCUGCUAAUGACCUUGAGGAUGUUCAAGUCAAACAUAUUUUUGCUGGAACAUAUGCCAACUUUGUGACAACUUACCAGAAGGAUACUAGUUCCACCGGUGUUUCCAGGAAAACCCUGCCAGAAAUAAGCCGAAUUAACCAGUCUCUGACAGAAAAAUGGAUGGCAGUGGCAAGAGGAAGCAUAGAAGAUGAAGUGACUAAGAGUGAAAUUAGAGUGAUAUUUUCAUCUCCUGCUUGUCUGACUGCAAGUUUUUUAAAGAAGAGAGAACCUGGAGAAAUGGUUUCCAUUGAUGUGGACUUAGAAAUGGCAAGAGAUACCUUCAAGAAGUUAACAGAAAAAGAAUGGAUUUCUUCGAUGAUAACCGCAUGUCUCAGGGAUAAUCUGCUUGGGGCUCUUCCAUGUCGUUCUCCACACCAAGAAGCUUUAUCAGUCUUCCUUCUGCUCCCAGAGUGUCCUGUCAUGCUUGAUUCCAGGAACUGGAUGACUCUGGUGGUUCCAUUUGCAGAGGCUGUUCAUAAAAUGACCGAUCAAUCUUCGAAAGUCCUGAAGCAGUGUUGGACAUCUUUGCAAGAAUCUUCCCUCAACUCACUUGUCCAGAUGCUGAAAACUGCCAUCAUCUCUCAAAUGUUUUCCUGGAAUAGUACUGUUCAGAGUAUUCGUAACCGCAAUGUUAAAACUCUUCUGGAAGUGAUGAAAGACAUAUAUAAGGUAAACAAAACUAACUGUCGAUUACCAGAAGAUAUGUUCCACAUAAAUGAAUUGUCCUUUUGGUUGAACUUUUAUGAAGAUAGAAAUAGAGUGAUCUAUAGGGAAAACAACCUGAUACCUGCAGAAAACUUCAGUCUGAUUAUUUUCAGUGAUUUUCCAUUUGUCUUUAAUUUGGUGUCCAAAAUUAAAUUAUUGCAAGCUGAUUCCCAAAUAAGAAUGUUGAAAUCUGAAGAGAACAACUACGUGAAUUUUGGGGGAAUAAUUCUACCAAGAAGGGCUGACUCCCCUUCAUUUACACUUAGAGUCAGACGAAGUCACUUAGUUGAAGAUGCUCUAUGUCAGUUAAGCCAAGCUGAAGACACUGACCUCCGGAAAACAUUAGUGGUUGAAUUCAUUAAAGAAAUUCGUUCUGUGGGGGAUGGGGUGAAGUCUGAGUUUUUUCACUGUAUAUUUGAAUCUAUGACCAAGGAAGAAUAUGGAAUGUUCAUAUAUCCUGAAGAGGAUUCCUACAUGUGGUUUCCUGUCAACCCUAAAUUUGAGAAGAAGAUGUAUUUCCUCUUUGGGAUGCUGUGUGGACUCUCCCUAUAUAAUUUUAAUGUUGUCUACCUCCCUUUCCCACUGGCUCUGUUUAAGAAACUUCUGGACCAGGAGCCAUCAUUGGAAGAUUUAAAAGAACUCAGUCCUUCUUUUGGAAAGUGUUUGCAAGAAGUUCUAAAUGAUGAUGCUAAUGACAUUAAAGAAGAACUUGGCAUACGUUUUUCUAUACCCUGGGACCAAAAUGAUGUUGGUUUAAUUCCAGAUGGGAUUUCUGUAUUUGUAGACCAAAGCAACAAGAAAGACUAUGUUUCUAAGUGUGUUGAUUAUGUUUUCAACACCUCUGUAAAGGCAGUUUAUGAGGAAUUUCAGAGAGGAUUUUAUAAACUUUUUGACAAAGAGAUACUUAAACAUUUCAAGCCUGAAGAACUAAUGAGAGCAAUAAUUGGAAAUACCGACUAUGACUGGAAACAAUUUGAAAAGAAUUCUAUUUAUGACCAAGGAUACCAUGAGUCACAUCCUACUAUACUGAUGUUUUGGAAAGCUUUCCAUAAUUUAACUUUGGAUGAAAAGAGAAAAUUCCUCUUUUUUCUUACAGGAAAUGAUAGACUACAUGUAAAAGGCAUACGGAAAACAGGAAUCUGGUUUCGCUGUCCUGAGACUUUCAGUGAAAGAGAUUUCCCAAGAUCACUGACAUGUCAUAAUAUUCUGGAACUCCCUAAAUAUUCUACAAUGAAAAAAAUGAAGAAAGCACUUCAAAUAGCCAUCAACAGCAACAAAGGAUUUAUCUCACACACAGUCACAGGAUGA